rnacentral:rRNA from 1 species
GGGAGCAAUCCGGAUUAGAUACCCGAGUAGUCUCAGCUGGUAAACGCUGUGAGCUAGGUGUCACAUAUUCUUCGGGAAUAUGUGGUGUCGAAAUGAAGAUGAUAAGCUCACCGCCUGGGAAGUAUGGUCGCAAGGCUGAAACUUAAAGGAAUUGGCGGGGGAGCACCACAAGAGGUGCGGCGUGCGGUUUAAUCUAAUUCAACACAGAGCAUCUCACCAGCAGCGACGGCAGGAUGAAGGUCAGCCUGAAGGGUUUACCUGACGAGCCGAGAGGUAGUGCAUGGCCAUCGUCAGCUCGUACCGUAAGGUGUCUUGUUAAGUCAAGCAACGAGCGAGACCUGUACCUACAAUUGCUAACAACUCUUUUAAGAGAUUUGAGCACAUUGUAGGAACUGCUCUGGAAACAGAGAGGAAGGUGUAGGCAACGAUAGGUCUGUAUGCUCCGAAUCUGCUGGGCUACACGCGCGCAACAAUGGUAAGGACAAUGUGAUGCAACUCUGAAAAGAGAAGCUAAUCCUCGAAACCUUAUCUUAGUCUAGAUUGAGGAUUGUAACUCAUCCUCAUGACAUUGGAAUCUCUAGUAAUCAGAUGUCAA